rnacentral:siRNA from 1 species
GUUGGGACCGUUGUAAAAAUUGA